GAGAUGGCAAAGUGGUGUGUCACUGUCAUGCUUGUUCUUGCUGUAGUAGCGGUUCACACUAGUGCAAGAAACACGCCUAGUGAUCAUGAUGAUCAAGUGGUUCAUAACGCUGCCAAAAAUGCACCCUCUGGUGCUGGCCUUGAUGAUCAAAAGAACUUUCUAACAUACGGUGGUGUCAGUGGCUUCUCCGGCAUUGGUUCUAAUGGGCUUCCGCUUGGUGGAGUUGGAGGUCUUGCUGGCGUUACUGGCCUCGGUGGUGCUGGUGGGCUUGGAGGAAUUGGUGGAGUCGGUGGUCUCGGUGGUUCAAGUGGGCUUGGUGGAGUUGGUGGCGUGGGUGGCGGCGUUGGCGGUGGUGCUGGUGGCGGCGUUGGUGGUGGUUCUGCCGGUGGAGUUGGCACUGGCACCGGAGUGCUUCCUUUCCAUUGAAAUAGUUGGAGCCUUAGAAGACAUUAGGGCUUCUUUACUUGCUUUUAAUUAAUCAAGGUUUUUCCUGUUUGAGGGUUUCCCGUGCACGUUAUUAAGAAAGUUUAGUUUAAUGUCAUGUUCGUGUGAUAGUUCGUUUACUUCGGCUUCAGUUACUGUUUGCUUUUGAUUUUUAGCUUUGAGAGCUUCUGGUAUGUUAUCGUAAUGUAAUUCUCUACUUCAGAGAUAUUCGACGUAAAUAAUUUAAUCGCGUGUUUUAUCUUCUUCUUCUGUCUUUUAAAUGGAGAUGACUGAUGUUAUAGAACCUUAGCUAAAGCAACUAAAGUUUACAUAUGAAGUUAUCGAAGCUCAUGCAUUAUGUUACACUAAGCAAAGUAAGGUCAUUAAUUUGUCGGGCCACAGCCUUAAACUUGACUAUAUGUCGUGGAAAUGUUUUGGGAUUCAGGAGCACCUGUAUUUUCAUUCAUUAAUUGCCAUGUAUAUAAUUCAACCAACCAUAAUAAUAAAUAUUAAGCAAUGUGAUGAGCAUAAUUUAUAUACAUAUUUUACCCUUUAUUGUAUAUUUGCUAGUUAAUUUUAUUUGUUAUUUUUAAUUAAUUGAAUUGUUUUAUUGAAUAGGAAAUUAAUUGGAGAUUGGAAAUAAAAAGUGCAAAAAAAAUAAUAAUUUAGAGAAAUAUUAGUUGAAGCUGUGAUAGAGUUAAGAGCUAAGAGCAAUUUGCAUUGAAAAAGAAUUUCAAUUCUCCAAUUGAGUUGCACGUCCAUAGCAUUGCAAAAGGGGAAAGCAAUUUAAAUGGGGCCCACACUUGACUUUCAAAAGUGGAAUUAAUGGCUGGCGUUAUUAUGGAAGCUUUGUUUCAUAAUUGGAAAAGGAUUUUAAUUAGCAGACAAAGAGGAUUCGGUGGCUAAGCAUUAUAAAAGAGAGUUUUGGCUUUUGAAUGAGGGUGGCCGCCAGAGGAGGAGAAAAAGGCUGGAAGAGAGCAGUUGCAGCAGCAAUAUUUCAGCUUCCCAUGGCUGAUUUUAUUUCUUUUGUUGCUCCCAAUUCAAGUAUGUCCAGCUAAUUUUCUUAUACUGAGGUUAAAGAUGAAACCCUAUUCAAUGAAAUAAUUAUUUUAUUUAUUUAUUUAAUUCCCAUAUAUGUUCUUUAAUGAUUAUGGUUUUUAUUUCACAUGAUUAAUUGGAUGUUAAUAAAAUCUUUUCAUCAAUUCUGUCAUGCAUUAUUGAUUGUUAAGAUUAAUAUUCGGUUAAUUCUAUGCUUGGAUCUAUAAAGUUUAUACAUGAUUAUCUUUGAUUUUAUGUCUUUCAUUAAAUUGUUUACAUGGAGUGCUUAGGAAACUUUGACUCUUUAUUAUUCAAUAUGUUUACAUGAGAUUCUUAGAUGUCAUAUUAUUAAGCAGAAAAAGAACCUACAUUAGAUUUAAUUACUUGGGCUUAAUUGUUAUAUCCAUGAGAUGACAUAGAUUGAUUUCGAGUUGUCACUCUAAAAUUGGGGAUUAAUUAAUAAUUAGAUAAUUACUAGUUGAAUAAUGGUGGAUUCUGAAACCUUGGUAAUUCUUAUCUUAUUGAAUUCUCCUUUAUUUUAAUUGCUUCCUUAGUUUAAUUGGUUUAAUUUUCUUAAAAACUCAAUUUGCUCAACUAGGUUAGAAUUAAUAUUAAUUUUAGAUUUAAAUUAGACUUUUUAAUUUAUAACAAUCCCUGUGGGAUCGACCUCGUUACCACUAUUUUAUUUCUAGAUUCGUGCGCUUGCGAGUAUAUUAAAAUUUUCACAACACAAUGCUCCAGGAGUAUUAAAAAAUCUUAAUUCUUUAGGAACACUAAAUACCUUCUUGUAUAUUAGUUGGUGUUGAAUAAAAUGGCAUUGAAGAAAGUUUUCAAAGACAUAAUCCGCACUUGUCAAAGGGAUAAUCUGCACUUGUCAAAGACACGAUCCGCGCCGAACGGAUUGACAUAUUUCCUUCCGUAUUUACAUAUGUAAUCUUUGAAAAAAUGUAGCAUCUGCAUCUAUAAAUAACUCUCAGUGUAUAAUGUUUUAUUCAAGAAAUGAAAACACGUUUCUUCAAUUGGAUGAUCGGUGAAUCAAUAACUGAAUAUCAAAACUGAUAAUACGUUAUCAAUAAGCAUGUAUUUUAAUGAUAAUUUAUAUAUUAGAAAAAUGAUCCUAUAGCUGAAAGACACUACUAUACAUAGAGGAAAAAAUAAAACUGGUGGAGAAUUUAUGUGUCGUGUUACUAAACUUUUCUCAGUUGUAAAUGUUCUAUUAUUUCCUAUAGUUUAAGUCAACGAUUCAAUUAGUGUUGACCAAUAUUUUCUCCAAACGAUUUUCUCAAUUUAGGUGUAAAGAGUUGGGAAUGGUGGAGUGUAAUAUUUGGGGUGGACUUAGAAUGUGCAGGUAUCCGAUCCCAAAUUAAACUUGUUAGGUAGAGAUUGAAUGUAGGUCGACAUUGAAUUUAGCAGCUGACUUCCAUUGACCAACCAAUAUUUAAUGCAACUCAACAGUAAAUUAAAAUAUUGAAUGGAAACUUUAUAUUUAAUAACCACCAAUCAGAUUUAACAAAACAAUCUAAUUCUUUAAUAAUCAACUUACCCUAUAUAAAACCAUUAACUGCUUCAAAUUUUGCCAUGAGUAAUGCUACUUGCAUAUAAAAUUGUACAAAUUUAUUAAUUCAUUUUUAUUUAUAAUUUUGUGUGCAAAUAGUGUUUAACUUUUUCCAAACUCUUGAAUUACGAUGGUCCCAAAGGAUUGGACAGAUUUUACCAUUAAAUUAAUGUGUCAGUACAUGUUAACUAAAAGUCUUUAGUUAGAGAAAACUAGAUUGACAAAGUGAGUGAGUAAAGUAACCAAAACACGCAAAUUUAGUUGAGAUAAGAAUUUUUUUUCUUUUAGAUUAGAUAAGCAAAUUAAUUAGUAGAAUAAAAAGUAUAAUGACAGUAGAAAAUGUUUGAUAUAGAAGUCUAAUACCAAGAUGAAAAAAAAAAAAGAAAUAUUUCUUGCAAAUUAAUUCAAUGUUUAGAGUUUUUUUUAAUAAAAAAAAAUUGAUGUUUAGAAUUGACCACGUGCUACUACGUAUUAUGAGUUAUGGACUACAGCUCAGUGAAAAGGCUCGAUGACUUUUUACUUAAUUCUCCGCAACGCAAGAACAUUUAAUUUUACUUUUUCACAGCUUAAUUAGGAUUUGCAUUUCCUCUCAAAACUCAAAAGGUAAGGUUCCUUGUCACACACAGUUUAAAAUUUUUCAUGUCAUUGGAAAUGGUCCAGGAAAUUAAUAAUGCCCAGAAUUGAGUCAAUCACUUCACAUCGGCCCUUUUCUUCCAACCAAAUGUAAUUACUUGAUUGGUUGGGCAAAUGUUUCUCUGCAUAUCACAUGCCCGAACGCCACAUCCCUAAUCAGCAUUUCAUUUGUCACCACCAUAUCUGGCAUGCAUGUUUAUUUCUGCAUUUGCCACUCUGGCCAUCGCAGUAACUUUCUUUCAGCUGGUACCCCAAGCGUUUAAACCAUUACGAUGACUCCUAUAACAAUUUUACUCUAAGCACAAAUCCUUGAAAAUAUAUAUUUCAAACAGCAGACCUUAUGAGCGAGUGUGCCAGCUAAGUUGCCCGCAUUCAAUUCUAUUUACUACCCACAACUACCUCCCCAAUGCCCUCUUAGCCUUUAUAAGGAGACUCCCGCAACAAUAGUUCACAUGUACUAAGAAGAAAAAUUCAUAAUAGUAAUCAAAUAAUAAUAAUCUUUGAGAGAGAUGGCAAAGUGGUGUGCCAAUGUCAUGCUUGUUCUUGCUGUAGCAGCGGUUCACACUAGUGCAAGAAAUACGCCUAGUGAUCAUGAUGAUCAAGUGGUUCAUAACACUGCCAAAAGUGCGCCCACUGAUGCUGGCCUUGAUGAUCAAAAGAACUUUCUAACAUACGGUGGUGUUGGUGGCUUCUCCGGCAUUGGUUCUAAUGGGCUUCCGUUUGGUGGAGUUGGAGGUCUUGGUGGGAUUACUGGCCUCGGUGGUGCUGGUGGGCUUGGAGGAAUUGGUGGAGUCGGUGGCCUCGGUGGUGCUAGUGGGCUCGGUGGUUCAAGUGGGCUUGGUGGAGUUGGUGGCGUGGGUGGCGGCGUUGGCGGUGGCGGCGGCGUUGGAGGUGGUGCUGGUGGCGGCGUUGGUGGUGGUUCUGCCGGUGGAGUUGGCAUUGGCACUGGAGUGCUUCCUUUCCCUUGAAAUAGUUGGAGCCUUAGAAGACAUUAGGGCUUCUUUACUUGCUUUUAAUUAAUCAAGGUUUUUCCUGUUUGAGGGUUUCCCGUGC
rnacentral:lncRNA from 1 species